UUCCACAAAUUUGUACAAUUUUCAUAAAUAUGAUGACAUAUUAUUAAGCAGCAGUAGAUGAUGAGAUAUUAACAUUAUUUUUCAAUCUCAACAAUCACUAAAUAACUUUAUGUUUGGUUUCAUUAAAGCUUCACCAAAUUACUAAAUCAAUGUCAAUCUCCAUAUUCUUUUUUGUAAUCUCUCUUCGCCAUCUCUCUUCGAUUAAAGGUAAGCGAUCGUUCUUCAUUUUUAUUUUUGAUUUUAUUUUCAAUUUCAAUUUGAUUUACAGUGCACAACCUAGGGUUUAUGGAUCAUUUGAAGGUAAUCUCAAUUUCAAUUUCAUUCUCUUCUCCAUCGAUUAAAGUUAAUCUUAUUUUCAAUUUUAUUUAUAGUGCGCAACCUAGGGUUUACAGAUUAUUCGAAGGUAUUCUCAUUUUCAAUCCAUUCUCUUCUCCAUCGAUCGAAGCUAAUCUCAUUUUCAAUUUCAUUUACAGUGCGCAACCUAGGGUUUACGGAUAAUUUGAAGAGCGCAACCUAGAGUUUACGAAUAAUUUGAAGAUCUCUUUUAAUGUCUUCACCUACUAAAGUUGCUGACUGGAUUUAGGAAGGAAGCAGAGACCGACUUUAAAUGUUACAACAGAGAUUGGAAGAAGUUCUCCAAAAUUAUAGAAAUGCAGUUUGGUAAGGAGCUUAACUAAGAAGUUGUCAUCAAAGUCAUUGGCGGAAAUGUUCAUUGCCACGCACAAGAGAAAUGCGGGGCGUUUUUGCAGGAUUUCAGCAAAAUAUUUGUGGAAAAUGGUUCCGUAGCAAAAAACGCGCUCAAAGUUUAGUUAUUUUUAAAAAAUACUUUGGUGAACAUUUUCUGCUUGUGAUGUAAUGGAUGGAUGGAAUAUUUUCCGAUUCUGAAGUUUAUGAAUAAUUUCCGUUUUCUAAUUUUGGUGAAUAUUUUAUGUUAUUCCAAUUUAGUGAAUGUUUUCCGUUUCUAAA